UACGUAGGGGGGCAAGCGUUGUCCGGAAUUAUUGGGCGUAAAGAGCGUGUAGGCGGUCCGGUAAGUCAGCUGUGAAAGUCAAGGGCUCAACCCUUGAAAGCCGGUUGAUACUGUCGGGCUAGAGUCCGGAAGAGGCGAGUGGAAUUCCCAGUGUAGUGGUGAAAUACGUAGAGAUUGGGAAGAACACCAGUGGCGAAGGCGGCUAUCUGGACGGUUUCUGACGCUAAGACGCGAAAGCGUGGGGAGCAAACAGG
rnacentral:rRNA from 1 species